UACGUAGGGGGCAAGCGUUGUCCGGAUUUAUUGGGCGUAAAGAGCGUGUAGGCGGCCAGGCAGGUCCGUUGUGAAAACUCGAGGCUCAACCUCGAGACGUCGAUGGAAACCGUCUGGCUAGAGUCCGGAAGAGGAGAGUGGAAUUCCCGGUGUAGCGGUGAAAUGCGCAGAUAUCGGGAAGAACACCCGUGGCGAAGGCGGCUCUCUGGGGCGGUACUGACGCUGAGGCGCGAAAGCGUGGGGAGCGAACAGG
rnacentral:rRNA from 1 species